GACGAACGCUGGCGGCGUGCCUAAUACAUGCAAGUUGAGCGAUGAAGAUUGGUGCUUGCACCAAUUUGAAGAGCAGCGAACGGGUGAGUAACGCGUGGGGAAUCUGCCUUUGAGCGGGGGACAACAUUUGGAAACGAAUGCUAACACCGCAUAACAACUUUAAACAUAAGUUUUAAGUUUGAAAGAUGCAAUUGCAUCACUCAAAGAUGAUCCCGCGUUGUAUUAGCUAGUUGGUGAGGUAAAGGCUCACCAAGGCGAUGAUACAUAGCCGACCUGAGAGGGUGAUCGGCCACAUUGGGACUGAGACACGGCCCAAACUCCUACGGGAGGCAGCAGUAGGGAAUCUUCGGCAAUGGACGAAAGUCUGACCGAGCAACGCCGCGUGAGUGAAGAAGGUUUUCGGAUCGUAAAACUCUGUUGGUAGAGAAGAACGUUGGUGAGAGUGGAAAGCUCAUCAAGUGACGGUAACUACCCAGAAAGGGACGGCUAACUACGUG
rnacentral:rRNA from 1 species